GCCGGCGUGGCGGAAUUGGCAGACGCGCGGGACUCAAAAUCCCGUGCCUUCACGGGCGUGUGGGUUCGACCCCCACCGCCGGCA
rnacentral:tRNA from 1 species